rnacentral:lncRNA from 1 species
GAGUGUUUGGAUUAUAUUACCUACCAAAAAUAAUUUUGUUUUAAAGUACAGUGUGUGAAAACUUUUAAUAUUAUCCUUAAGUAUUACUAGGUUGUUUUAGACACUUUCUCUGGAGUCACUUUUGCAAGCUUUAUCUCUAUUAAUGUUUAAAGCCUUCAAUCUAAUUAACCCAUGCACACUAUAAUUUUAAUUCAAAAAGAAAAGUGAACUUUGACCCAACUUCAGAUGUUAAGUGUGUAUCUAGCCUCCAUACCAGCCCAUAGCAUAUUUGUUAUCAUUUGUCUUUACUCUUCAUUAUAAGAAAGGUAAACAAAAAGGAGAGAACGGGGAAAAGGUCAAGAAAAAAAACAGAAAAGAAUUGAUUAUCCUUUCAAUAAUGGGAACUGAAAGUCAUCUGUUAAAUAUAGCCCCUACAUUCAUGGUGAUUCAACAUCCCAGGCUCCAUUCUAUGAUUUCUGCCUUACUGUACAAUUUUCUCCUUUGACAAAAAAUUCUCUUUGAGUAUUGCGAUGACUCAAGACCCUCAGCUGUGAUCACCACUUUUUCUCCUUCUAGGGAAAUUCGCAAAGAUAAAAAGCCAGAGUCUCACUUUUAUGAGCCAAAUUCACCUCUAGAAAUGAGGCUGCAUGCCACAGAGAGAAAGCCAGUACAGCAUGUGUACAGGAU